UCCGGUUUGUCACCGGCAGUCUCGUUAAAGUGCCCAACUAAAUGAUGGCAAUUAACGACAAGGGUUGCGCUCGUUGCGGGACUUAACCCAACAUCUCACGACACGAGCUGACGUCAGCCAUGCAGCACCUGUCUCCGGUCCAGCCGAACUGAAAAGCUCCAUCUCUGGUGCUCGCGACCGGGAUGUCAAAGGCUGGUAAGGUUCUGCGCGUUGCUUCGAAUUGAACCACAUGCUCCACCGCUUGUGCGGGUCCCCGUCAAUUCUUUUGAGUUUCAGCCUUGCGACUGUACUCCCCAGGCGGUAUACUUAACGCGUUAGCUACGGCACAACCAGGGUUGAGUCCGGUUACACCAAGUAUACAUAGUUUACGGCAAGGACUAC
rnacentral:misc_RNA from 1 species